AGAACAGGGCAAAGAGAUGGGGGAGCGGGAGGAAGGUUCGCUGCAGGGAUGAAGAGGGAUAAGCCCAGCCAGGCCAAAAACGCGGCACUGGAGAGUUUCUAGACCUACUCUACAGAGGAUGGUCCUCAAUUCUGAAGGGCUGUCAGGCGAAGGCCCUCUGAGUGGUCCUGUCCAAAUCUGGUUUAGAGCUAGAGGGAGAGUAUCAGGGAGGGACUUGAUGCUGCCCAACCACAGCGAACACCUGAACAGCAGACUGAACAGCCACACACAGGCCAUGGCCUUUCCCCACGAUGGUGGGGUAUGAGAUGAGCUUUCUCUGCACCUCUCUGCAGGCAGCGGUGCAGCUUCCCACUGUUUCUCUGGAUCUGCUGCCUAUUUUUAGGCGUUUGCUUGCUUCCAGUAGGUGCUGCUAAUAUUAUUUGUAGAUAAAACAAAUAUUACAAAGACAGCAGAAAUUGCCUUUAUUCUCUCAU